GACGAACGCUGGCGGCGUGCUUAACACAUGCAAGUCGAACGGAAAGGCCUGCUUUCCCUUGUGGAUUGCUGGUACUCGAGUGGCGAACGGGUGAGUAACACGUGAGUGAUCUGCCCCCAACUUGGGUAUAAGCCUGGGAAACUGGGUCUAAUUCCCGAUAGGACUGCAGGGUGGUGCCUGUGGUGGAAAACGAUUUUCUAGUGGUUGGGGAUGAGCUCGCGGCCUAUCAGCUUGUUGGUGGGGUAAUGGCCUACCAAGGCGGCGACGGGUAGCCGGCCUGAGAGGGUGGACGGCCACAUUGGGACUGAGAUACGGCCCAGACUCCUACGGGAGGCAGCAGUGGGGAAGAUUGCACAAUGGGCGGAAGCCUGAUGCAGCGACGCCGCGUGGGGGAUGACGGCCUUCGGGUUGUAAACUCCUUUCGACCGCGAGGAAGCCACCUGGUUGGAAGGGUGGUGACGGUAGUGGUAGAAGAAGCACCGGCUAACUACGUG
rnacentral:rRNA from 1 species